AUGGCAAAAAACAGUCUGCCAUUGAGACAAAAACUAAUUCAGCGAGGAGUUAAAGCAGACCCAUGGUGCCCAGUAUGCUUACGUACUGACGAGGAUGGAGGGCACACCUUCUUCAAAUGCAAACCAGUGAAGCACAUAUGGAGGGCGGCUCAAAUGGAGGAUAUAAGGGAAAAUCUUAGCAUUUGUUGUAGUCCGAAAGAUGUGCUCAUUCGAAUUUUUGAGCUUGAUCAGAGGAAGAGUGCAAGAGCAAGUAUUCUUAUGUGGCUUUGGUGGCACGAGAGAAAUAAAGCUAAUAAAGGAGAGGCUAUAAGAAGUACAACUGAAAUUCUAGAAUCCCUCGAAAAGCAUGAUAGAGAAUCUGACGAGUUUUUUAAGAGGAAAUGUACUAAAAAAACAACGACCAAGGAUAGUUGUUGGAAACCGCCAGAGGAAAAUUAUCUAAAGAUAAAUAUAGACGGAGCCUUCACAAAGGACUCAAAGAAGGGAGGAUGGGGUUUCAUUAUCAGAAACUCUGAAGGAGGAGUAGAAGCAGCAGGGGCAGGGAGAUUGUCAAGACUCUCUGAGGCAAUUCAAGCAGAAACAAUUGCCCUGUUAUAUGCCGUGGAGAGAGCAAGUGAGUUGGGAUGCAGGAAUGUAAUCUUCGAAACGGAUGCAUUGGUGCUGAAACAAGCUAUUGACGGAGACGCCUACGAUAAUUCAGUUUUCGGUGCCCUGUUUCGAGAAGCAAAGUUUAAACUCUUGUACUAUUUUCAGUCUGCUUUUAUCAAUUGGUGUCCCAGGUCCUGUAAUGUAGCUGCCCAUAAGCUAGCGUCAUUUGGCGCGAGUUUGGUUGAGCCAGAUAUAUGUAUGUGGUUGUCAGAUGUACCAAACUUUGUAACUGAAGCGGUUGCCAGCGAUUUUGUUGGCCCGUAUGUGUAA
rnacentral:rRNA from 1 species